rnacentral:sRNA from 1 species
CAAAGCGCAACGCGUCGGUUCGGGAAUUGAUUUAACGGAAUAGUGCUUAUUUGAUCCGUUGCUUCGUGUGUUUAGGUUUGUGAGCUUUACCGCUAAAGCAUACCAAAAUGCUAGUGAAUCCUCCAACAGUCAGUCACUCGUGUUUCCGCAGUUGUUUUUGUUCCCCUUUAUUGUUGUUGCUGUCCCCCUUGCCUAAGCUCAUUUAAUAUUUGCCUUGCUAUGCAAUUACGAAAUCUUUCUUAAGAAAUUUUAUAUGUAUUUCAUGUGGCUACAACUCCAAAAUCGUAUUCUAUUUGAGAUACGGGCGGUAUUUAACCGAGAAUAUUCACUUAUACCUCUCUGGACUGCUGGCAUUUAACUAAUACGCAAUUAUGUUGCGCAGACGCAAAGUGGACGAAAAUCGGGACACAACAAAUUGAGCAAGCAAACGGUAAACUCUAUUCAAAGAUUUAGCAGCUACGUGGAUAUAGAAUGGAUGAACAAUAUUGCUUUUUUUCUAUGUCUGGAGGGCAGGAUCGCAUAUACAUUUGACGUAGACUGACCCGUUAUAAAACCUCACUGCUCGCUGCGAUAAGAGACGAUUUCGGGACAACAGCUCUACCAAUUCGAAUGUCCCUGUUGCUUUUGAGCUGCUUAGUCUGAGCGCAUUUGUUGCACGUCUUCCAAAGAUCCAAUGAUAUUGUGCUGCCUGAAGCAAACUCUGGACUACGGACUGGGACUACAUGGGUUUCAUGUGCGGACGACUCUGCUGCUGCCAGGCUCUCUGCUGGAAUUCACACUACAUUGACAAAUUAAGGACCACAAUUAAUUUCAAGGACCUCCACGAUUAGCAAAGCAAAUUUUUUCAGGAUCGGACUUCAAUUAGAACAGAUAUAGCUAUUUUAAGUUCAAAUUCAAUGAAAGCAGGUUACUUGCCCAUUAUAAAAUAUUUAUAGGCUUAAUAGAACAUAACUCGCAGCAUAACAGCAUGCGAAUUUGACUAAUGGGGCUACAUUAACACAGAAUAAAGUUGCUCAAGUCCAUUAAAACGGCGCUCAGAAAAUAGAGCACGCAAAUGCCCAGACGAGAACCUCAAUGCACGCUGUUAUUGGUUGGACCAAUCAGCGAUCAGCGUCGAAAAAGUCGUGAGCGCAUGAGAACGUAAAUGACAGCGAACAUCCACACGAACAGGUGUCUGCCUGCUUAUCUCUGGCUUCGGCGCAUCUCUGCACCUGUUUGUGUGGAUGUGUAUGCUUGCCAAUGUGUCGCAUCGAUCUCACUCGAAUUUUGAUUGCUUGCUAAUUUUCUGUGCGCCGGGUUUUUUCUUCCGCUUGAGUCAC